CAGGUCCGUGAUGCCCUUUAGAUGCUCUGGGGCUGCACGCGUGCUACAAUGUUAGGAUCAAUAGGACUGCGAGCCUGAGAGGGUGCGCUACUCUUAUAAUCCCUAACGUAGUUGGGAUUGACGUUUGUAAUCAGCGUCAUGAACCAGGAAUCCCUUGUAAAUGUGUGUCAACAACGCACGUUGAAUACGUCCCUGCCCUUUGUACACACCGCCCGUCGCUCCUACCGAUUGGAUGACUCGGUGAAAUCACCGGAUGCUUACGAGCAGAAAGUGAUUAAAUCACGUUAUCUAGAGGAAGGAGAAGUCGUAACAAGGUAACGGUAGGUGAACCUGCCGUUGGAUCAGUU
rnacentral:ncRNA from 1 species